GCAGAGGCCUUUGUCCGCAAAGAACAACAAAAGAUUCAGAUGUAAGCUGGAAAGCAGGAGGAAGGUCCUGACAACGAUGGACUGGCCGGAGAAGAAAC